rnacentral:tRNA from 2 species
GCGGUAGUAGUUCAGUUGGUCAGAAUACUCCCCUGUCACGGGAAUGGUCGUGGGUUCGAGUCCCAUCUAUCGCGCCA